CUCGCCGCCGGAUCGCGGGCAACAGUCCGUUCGCGGACCGCCUCCGACGAUCCGGGACGAGACGAAAUGUGGCCGCCUCGCGGCUGAAUCGCAAG
ncrna:unclassified sequences eL15-Euryarchaeota ribosomal protein leader